UACGUGGGGUGCAAGCGUUAAUCGGAAUUACUGGGCGUAAAGCGUGCGCAGGCGGUUUCUUAAGUCAGAUGUGAAAGCCCCGGGCUUAACCUGGGAACUGCGUUUGAAACUGGGAGACUUGAGUGUGGCAGAGGGGGGUGGAAUUCCGACGUGUAGCAGUGAAAUGCGUAGAUAUGUGGAGGAACACCGAUGGCGAAGGCAGCCCCCUGGGUUAACACUGACGCUCAUGCACGAAAGCGUGGGGAGCAAACAGG
rnacentral:rRNA from 1 species